AUCUAAUCAGCCAUGUGGUGGCAGCUCAGUGCAUUAAAGCAUGCAGACGCGGCAAGACUUGUACAAACCACAUUUCAGAAUAUAAUCUAUGGGAGUAUGACCAUUGAGUGAUUGUUGGUGUCAAACGAUGGUCUGAAUAUCUCUUAAACAGCUGAUCUCCUGGGAUUUUAACACUCAGUAGAGUUUACAAUGAAGAGGGCAGUACAAAG